UUCCGGAUCACUAACGUCUACGCUCCCUCCGAUCAUGCGUUCACGGCGGACUUUGUCGAGGACCUCAUGUCGGUCGCAGCGGGCAUCACUGGCCCCUGGCUGGUGCUUGGGGACUUCAACCUCAUCCGCUUCCCUCACGAGAAGAAUAACGAUCGCUUUGAUGCUUCUCGUGCGGCUGUGUUCAACUCCCUCGUUAACUCUCUUGCUCUGCACGAGCUCGCCCUGUCGGACAGGCUUUUUACUUGGACGAACAGGCGGGAUCCCCCCACCCUCGCUCGUCUGGAUCGCGUCUUCUUUGACCACGCUUGGGACGUCGCCUUCCCGGACUCGGGUCUGUCGUCUCGCCCCCGUUCUACCUCGGAUCAUGUGCCCCCUAGUGGUGGAGGCCGCGACGCGGAUUCCUUCCCCUUCUCGGUUUUUCUUCGAGAAUGCUUGGCUCCGCGAUCCUCAGUUUCUCCCCUCUACCCUCUCGUCCUGGUCGAACACGGGGGCCAGUCGGUGCGCUGUGGGUUGCCUGGCAACUCGCAAGAAAAGGUUCAGGGCCGCGGCCAAGGUUUGGAAAAGGCUACACAAAUACAUUCCUGCUUUUGA
rnacentral:rRNA from 1 species